CCUUUUGGCUCCAUCGGAGUGUCCUCCAACGCGGCGGAGAUCUAUUUCUAUCCCCCGGAACCCUCCGCCCCUUCCCCCCAAAUCUCUCCGCCGCCUCGCCACCCUCAUCUCAGCCUCAGCCUCACCCUCACCCUCACCCUCGCCGCCGACCCCCAGCCCCUCUCCCCAACCCCUGCCCGAUGACGUCCCCGGCGCCAGCGCCGCCAGCGGCCGCCGCGGCGCAGUCCCCGCCCCCGCGCAUCGGCCUCGCCGGCCUCGCCACCAUGGGCCAGAACCUCGCGCUCAACAUCGCCGAGAAGGGCUUCCCGAUCUCCGUCUACAACCGCACCGCUGCCAAGGUCGACUCCACGCUCUCCCGCGCCGCCGCCGAGGGCGCGCUCCCGGUCCUCGGCCACCGCGACCCGCGCGACUUCGUGCUCUCCCUCGCGCGCCCCCGCACCGUGGUGCUCCUCGUCCAGGCCGGCCCCGCCGUCGACGCCACCAUCGACGCCCUCUCGCCCUACCUCGACGCCGGCGACGCCAUCGUCGACGGCGGCAACGAGUGGUACCAGAACACGGAGCGCCGCAUCGAGCAGGCCGCAUCCCGGGGCAUACUCUACCUCGGCAUGGGCGUCUCCGGCGGCGAGGAGGGCGCGCGGAACGGCCCCUCGCUCAUGCCUGGCGGCGACUUCCAGGCCUACAGCAACAUCAAGGACAUCCUGGAGAAGGCCGCGGCUCAGACGGAGGACGGCCCGUGCGUCACGUUUGUCGGGCCCGGUGGUGCCGGCAACUUCGUCAAGAUGGUGCACAACGGGAUCGAGUACGGUGAUAUGCAGCUCAUCGCCGAAGCCUAUGAUGUGCUCCACCGUGUUGGUGGCCUCUCAAACUCGGAGAUAGCCGAUGUGUUUGCUGAGUGGAACAAGGGAGAGCUGGAGAGCUUCUUGGUUGAGAUUACUGCAGAUAUAUUCACAGUGGCUGAUCCACUGGAGGGGAGCACCAGUGGGGCGCUGGUUGACAAGAUUCUUGACAAGACCGGGAUGAAGGGGACCGGGAAGUGGACGGUGCAGCAGGCGGCGGAGCUUGCAGUCGCUGCACCCACCAUUGCAGCAUCACUGGAUGGGAGGUACUUGUCGGGGCUCAAGGAUGAGCGAGUUGCAGCCGCAAGUGUGCUAGAGGAAGAGGGGAUGCCAGUUGGGCUUCUGGAGAAGAUUAAUGUCGAUAAGAAGGUGCUGGUGGACAGGGUGAGGCAGGCACUUUAUUCGUCGAAGGUUUGCAGCUACGCACAGGGGAUGAAUCUGCUAAGAGCCAAGAGUGUGGAGCAGGGCUGGAAUCUUAACCUUGCCGAGCUUUCAAGGAUUUGGAAGGGUGGAUGCAUUAUUCGGGCAAGGUUUCUUGAUAGGAUUAAGAAGGCUUAUGACAGGAACCCUGAGCUGGCCAAUUUGAUUGUCGACAGGGAGUUCGCCAGGGAGAUGGUGCAGAGACAGGGCGCAUGGCGGUGGGUUGUGGCCCGGGCAGUAGAGGCCGGCAUCAGCACUCCAGGGAUGUCUGCGAGCCUUUCAUAUUUUGAUACCUACAGGUGCAACCGGUUGCCAGCGAAUCUGAUCCAAGCACAGAGGGACUUGUUUGGGGCACACACCUAUGAGCGCAUUGACCGCCCAGGUUCUUUCCACACUGAGUGGACUAAGCUGGCGAGGGAGGGCAAGUUGUCUAGUGUUAUAUGUAACUUCUUUUCCAGAUUAAUCCUUUCUUCAUGUUGAUCAUGUUUCACUUCUUUUUACAUGAUGUAGUGGAAAGAAUAUUUCCCAACGAAGAGUUAGUGCAGACACCAUACUUGGAUGCAGAAGUCCUCUUUUAUCCAAAGAUUGUUUGUGUUUAUUUGCCAUGGAGACAAGCAGAAUGUCGCAACCAGAACCAGUACAACAGAUGCAUUUGGAUGCUAGUGAAAUCUGGAAAAAGGCGAAGAAGCUCAGGAGAUACUGAAGAAGGGAACAUUGUCAAAGGACAAUUUUGCUCUUUCAGCGGUUUUCAGAUGAACAACAAUAGCGAACCGGCCAUGUUCCGAAAGCGUUCGUGUGCUUACCGUCAAAAGUUAUCGGCCAUCAUCCAAGAACCGUCUUCGACAAUAAUGCAUAGGCAGGAGAAUUUACGGAGGUGGAGGACGGUGGGGAUGUCGUGGGAGAGCGACGGGAUACAAGGGUGGGCCCACCUCAAUUCAAGGGUAUUUAGUUGAAUACCCAUUAUUUUUGGCAAAAAACUAAGUAUAUAUACUGUAUAUUCUGUGUUGUAUAAUGAAAAACGUUACUCAUACUCUAGAACA